UACGUAGGAGACGAGCGUUGUCCGGAGUUACUGGGCGUAAAGGGUGCGCAGGCGGCCCGGCGCGUGUGGGGUAAAAUCUCCCGGCUCAACUGGGAGGGGGCCUUGCAGACGGGCGGGCUUGAGGGUCGCAGAGGGGCGUGGAAUUCCCAGUGUAGAGGUGAAAUUCGUAGAUAUUGGGAAGAACACCGGUGGCGAAGGCGGCUCUCUGGGCCGUAACUGACGCUGAGGCGCGAAAGCGUGGGGAGCAAACGGG
rnacentral:rRNA from 1 species